CCUCGGACACGGACGUCCUUGUGCGCGCCGGCGCCGACGUGGGUAUGAGGACCCAACAGUGGCCGGGUACUGCUUUCCAAUGCAGAGGGUGGUUGGCGGCUUACCUGAAGGACGGGAGCGGAGUGGCCGGAGCUGCGUGCUGCAACGUCGUCGACGUCGCGUCGACAUGCGAUGGGCGGUGAGGAAGAAGGUCCCCCGUGCCCUCCUCCACAUCGAUGCUCGAGCCGUCGGGUUGUCCAGUGGAGCCAGCACUGCUUCCGUCGCUGGUGAUCGAAUCAGAUCGCAUAGGAUCAGAGGUGGUGUGGGCGGAGAGGGGAGUGAAGCAAAGUUUGAAUUGACCGGUGUCUAGGGUUUUCCGGGUGGGGAUUUUUAUGGGGCACAGGCUAGGCCAAGCCGACGUGGCGGAUGCGCUUGGGCACGCCAGAGCCUCCCCAUAUUCACUCUAUGUUUGAGCUGGAUAGGAGGGGCGCCGGAUAGGCCGGACGUUUGAGGCCGGUUUAAGGCAUCUGGUUGGAUCGUUUUUUGCGACCGGUCAAUGAUCAGGGUGUUCGCCAGACGUUUGGGGCGGUUUAUGGUGCGCGGGUGUAGAUGCUCUAACCCUUGGCCUGCCGUGGCGGCGCUGCAGGCUCGGCGGAGUUGUCACGUAGUAGUAGUGGAGUAGUAGCGUAGGACUAUUAUAUGCACACAAAUAAAGAAUUAAAGAAAGAAACAAAUAAGAAACCAACCAGCAGGUCUGAGCCAAUGGGGACGGAGCACACGGAUCGCGUGCUUCCCUUGAGCAGUUGCGGGCCAUCGGAUCUUGGGAGGAAUGAUCAAACGGGUGGUGGCCGGACGCGGUGUCAGUGGCUAGAUCUGGGGUGGCCGUCAGGCCCUUUUUACAGAGAGCCCGCCGCCACGAAGAAACAGGGAAAUAGUCCGAGGAUGACGGCGUCAGGCGUUUUUACAGAGUAGGACUGGGAGUGAGCUGAGCCUCCUCCGUCAAAAAAAAAAAAAAAAAAAAAAGCUGUAGACGGUAGGUACGGUAAUUACGGCGGGUCUUUCCGUUAUUUUGUCCCCGUGGCAGACUUCCUCUCCCCUCACCAAAGGGCUCUCCUUUUUUGCAUCUCAAGAAGAAGACGCAACCUCCAUGGCCUCGGUUCCCAUGGCCAUGUUCAUCGCCUUCUUGGUCCGAGCGACCGGCCUUGUCAGGCCAUGUUCAUGGCCGUGGUGGCCGUGGCCUAUCUGGUGUCACAGCUUGGCUCCUUUGGGGCCGAAAAGAAAACAAGGCAGUCGUUCGUUGCCGGAGCCACGCGUGCGGUUGCUGUCUUGGCUCCAGACCUGUCCUUGGAGGUCGUCCCUGGAUCGCUGGCCAAGCUCCAUCCUGAAGGUUUUUUUUGAACUAACUAAAACCACGACGAGUAAUUUGGAACGGAGGGAGUAACUGGGUAGGAUCUCUCCUGGUGGCCUUUCAUUCCAAACUAGAGAGAAGAGAAAAGAAAAAGAGACGUGCUACUUGCCAAAAGAAACCAAAGACUUUUUCAGUUUGGAGGGAGUUGUGGUUGUUUUUAUCUAAAUUUAUUUAUAUAUAUUAAGUGACUCAUUCUCAUUCAAUUUA